AUGUCCUCUCUGGGGUCCAGUGGCGGCGGCUCUCUGCUGCAGGUUCCAGGAGCUCUGCCCGCCAUAAGCCACGCUACCCUGGGGUCCGGACGCAGCGCGAGGCCCGUGAUCCGCCUCAGCACCGCUCAGAGCGUGGACAGACACUCCCCACACAGACUCAGUCCGUCUGACAGCGUAGAGGGACGCCGCUGGAGUCCCGCUCACGGAACAAACAGACACAGGCUCAACUCGGCCCACAGCAUCGACGGAUACAAGUUCAGCCCGGCACAUCGGAUAAACAGACACAGACUCAGCUCUGCGCACAGUAUGGACGGAUACCGGCUGAACUCGGAAGAGAGCACAGACAGGCCCCGGCUCAUGUCCAGCCACAGUAUAGACAGACAUCCGUCGCUCAGACCGAGUCCCACUCACAGUGCCGGCAGACAGCCCUCCCAUUGGCUCAGCCCCGAGGACAGUUUAGACAGAAACAAGUUGAGUCCCUCCUACAUCCCAGACAGGUCCGUUCUGAGGAGACCCGCAUCGUUCCACACGGCGAGCAGACAGCUGCGGAGACAGGCGGCCGUUCGCUGUGACUCUCUGGACCAGAGCGGAUCAGCCGACAGUCUGGCGGAGCCUCACCUCGCCGUGUCCGCCGCCCCUUCCACGCCGCCGCGCCAGCGAUCGUCCAGUGUACACACACUGAAAUAUACACACCCCCAGAGGGUCAUCUCGUGCCGCAGCCACAGCCGGAGCCACAGUGAAACCACUGGACAGGAACAUGUACCCGAGCAGGCCACCUGCGGCUCGCAGCCAGCGGCAGACGUCGGCAAACGGCCCGUCAGCCCGCAGAGCCUGUCCAGUCUGAAGGCGUCCGGCGGUGAAUCCGCCCCAUCGGCUCCGCCCUGCAGCUCCAGAGCGGCGAGCCUCGGCCCCGGCUCCGGACCCGGGCCUCAGGCAGACACCGCGGACGAGGAGGUCAACCGUAUUAACAGUUCUGCGCACACUGACUCACACGCACAGCUUCCUCCCAGCUCCUCACACAAAACCAGACACCUUAACCCGAGUCCCGGGGAGCACAGGAGCCGCCUCAGCCAAUCAAUGUCCCCGGUGUCGGGCAGGAACAUGAAGCAGAGGAUGAGCCCGCCGCCGGGGGAGGAGCAGGUCACUACUGCCACCCAAUUGAUGGACAGCAGUGUUGAGCUGAGGAGGCGGACUCUGUCAUUUGAUGCCACGUCCCUCUCUCCUAAUCAACCAGAGGGGAGCUCCGUGGACGACUAA
rnacentral:lncRNA from 1 species